UGGGGAAUUUUGGACAAUGGGGGAAACCCUGAUCCAGCCAUCCCGCGUGUGCGAUGAAGGCCUUCGGGUUGUAAAGCACUUUUGGCAGGAAAGAAACGUCAUGGGUUAAUACCCCGUGAAACUGACGGUACCUGCAGAAUAAGCACCGGCUAACUACGUGCCAGCAGCCGCGGUAAUACGCAGGGUGCAAGCGUUAAUCGGAGUUACUGGGCGUAAAGCGUGCGCAGGCGGUUCGGAAAGAAAGAUGUGAAAUCCCAGAGCACAACUUUGGAACUGCAUUUUUAACUACCGGGCUAGAGUGUGUCAGAGGGAGGUGAAAUUCCGCGUGUAGCAGUGAAAUGCGUAGAUAUGCGGAGGAACACCGAUGGCGAAGACAGCCUCCUGGGAUAACACUGACGCUCAUGCACGAAAGCGUGGGGAGCAAACAGG
rnacentral:rRNA from 1 species